ACGGAGGGAGCUAGCGUUGUUCGGAAUUACUGGGCGUAAAGAGCGUGUAGGCUGCUCUUGCAAGUCGGAGGUGAAAUCCCUGGGCUCAACCCGGGAACUGCCUUCGAUACUGCAAAGCUAGAGGAUGGGAGAGGGCAAUGGAAUUCCAAGUGUAGAGGUGAAAUUCGUAGAUAUUUGGAAGAACACCGGUGGCGAAGGCGAUUGCCUGGCCCAUAUCUGACGCUGAGACGCGAAAGCGUGGGGAGCGAACAGG
rnacentral:rRNA from 1 species